rnacentral:rRNA from 1 species
GACGAACGCUGGCGGCGUGCUUAACACAUGCAAGUCGAACGGUAAGGCCCUUUCGGGGGUACACGAGUGGCGAACGGGUGAGUAACACGUGGGUGAUCUGCCCUGCACUUUGGGAUAAGCCUGGGAAACUGGGUCUAAUACCGGAUAGGACUACGCGAUGCAUGUCGUGUGGUGGAAAGCUUUUGCGGUGUGGGAUGGGCCCGCGGCCUAUCAGCUUGUUGGUGGGGUGAUGGCCUACCAAGGCGACGACGGGUAGCCGGCCUGAGAGGGUGUCCGGCCACACUGGGACUGAGAUACGGCCUAGACUCCUACGGGAGGCAGCAGUGGGGAAUAUUGCACAAUGGGCGCAAGCCUGAUGCAGCGACGCCGCGUGGGGGAUGACGGCCUUCGGGUUGUAAACCCCUUUCAGCACAGACGAAGCGUAAGUGACGGUAUGUGCAGAAGAAGCACCGGCCAACUACGUG